GCCUCUGUAGCUCAGUUGGUAGAGCGCCGCUCUUGUAAAGCGAUGGUCGCGGGUUCGAUUCCUGUCAGAGGCUCCAUAC
rnacentral:tRNA from 1 species